CAUAAAUCAAUGAAUAUAAUCUGGUCGUUCAUCCUUGAUCGUGCGGCAAAUAUGAAACAACCUUUUUUUACCAAAAAUUUUCUCUCUCCUCUCUCUCCUUCGUUUAUCUUCUGAAACUCAAAAACUUUCUCUCUCCUCUUUCCUUUCUCCUUCGUUUAUCUUCUGAAACGUUAUUCUCUACACUAGGCUCAAUCUUCUUCUUGUUUUGCGCAACUUUUUCAUCCUCCAUUGAUAAUUUGAAUAACAUUCAGAAAGCUACCUGUGAGGAAAUUGAAUGUUGAUGAAGUUGUUGUUAUAGUUAUAGAUGCUCUUGAAUUUGAACGCUUUGGGAGGCGAUUUCUUUAAGCUCAACACUCUUGUUAUAUUAGAUGUGAAUGAAUCAAGGAUUAAUACCCUAUCUAAACUCGGUGAUUUUAACAAAA